rnacentral:rRNA from 1 species
AUUGAACGCUGGCGGCAGGCCUAACACAUGCAAGUCGAACGAGUGGCGGACGGGUGAGUAAUGUCUGGGAAACUGCCCGAUGGAGGGGGAUAACUACUGGAAACGGUAGCUAAUACCGCAUACCAUCGGAUGUGCCCAGAUGGGAUUAGCUAGUAGGUGGGGUAACGGCUCACCGAGGGGACGAUCCCUAGCUGGUAUGCGAGGAUGACCAGCCACACUGGAACUGAGACACGGGCCAGACUCCUACGGGAGGCAGCAGUGGGGAAUAUUGCACAAUGGGCGCAAGCCUGAUGCAGCCAUGCCGCGUGGAUGAAGAAGGCCUUCGGGUUGUAAAGUACGUUCAGCGGGGAGGCGUUACUCGCAGAAGAAGCACCGGCUAACUCCGUGCCAGCAGCCGCGGUAAUAC